rnacentral:rRNA from 1 species
AGCGUCCUUGUAACCUCCCCCCAGGACGGGUGAGUAACACGUGGGUUUACCUGCCUGUAAGAAUGGGGAUAACUCCGGGAAACCGGAGCUAAUACCGAAUAACACUUUCGCUCGCAUGAGCGGAUGUUAAAAGACGGUUUCGGCUGUCACUUACAGAUGGACCCGCGGCGCAUUAGCUAGUUGGUGAGGUAACGGCUCACCAAGGCGACGAUGCGUAGCCGACCUGAGAGGGUGAUCGGCCACACUGGGACUGAGACACGGCCCAGACUCCUACGGGAGGCAGCAGUAGGGAAUCUUCCGCAAUGGACGAAAGUCUGACGGAGCAACGCCGCGUGAGUGAUGAAGGUUUUCGGAUCGUAAAACUCUGUUGUUAGGGAAGAACAAGUANGAGAGUAACUGCUCGUACCUUGACGGUACCUAACCAGAAAGCCACGGCUAACUACGUGCCAGCAGCCGCGGUAAUACGUAGGUGGCAAGCGUUGUCCGGAAUUAUUGGGCGUAAAGCGCGCGCAGGCGGUUCCUUAAGUCUGAUGUGAAAGCCCACGGCUCAACCGUGGAGGGUCAUUGGAAACCUGGGGAACUUGAGUGCAAAAAAGGAAGGCGGAAUUCCACGUGUACCGGUGAAAUGCGUAAAGAUGUGGAGGAACACCAGUGGCGAAGGGGGUUUUCUGGUCUGUAACUGACGCUGAGGCGCAAAGC